rnacentral:rRNA from 1 species
AGCCAUGCGAGUCAUUGUAGCAAUACAAGGCGGACGGCUCAGUAACACGUAGUCAACCUAACUCGUGGACGUGGAUAACCUCGGGAAACUGAGAAUAAACCACGAUAGAUCAUAGUGCCUGGAAUGGCUUAUGGUCCAAACAGUUUACUGCCAUGGGAUGGGACUGCGGCCUAUCAGCUUGUUGGUGAGGUAAUGGCCCACCAAGGCGAUUACAGGUACGGGCUCUGAGAGGAGAAGCCCGGAGAUGGGUACUGAGACACGGACCCAGGCCCUAUGGGGCGCAGCAGGCGAGAAACCUUAGCAAUGUGCGAAAGCACGACUGGGUCAGUCCGAGUGAUUCCUGAUAAAGGAGUCUUUUGCUUGUCCUAAAAACACUAGUGAAUAAGGGGUGGGCAAGUUCUGGUGUCAGCCGCCGCGGUAAAACCAGCACCUCAAGUGGUCAGGAGGAUUAUUGGGCCUAAAGCAUCCGUAGCCGGCUAGGUAAGUUUUCUGUUAAAUCCAUGCGCUUAACG